UCACGUGAUGGCCACGUUAAGUUAAUUGAAAAAUUCGAAUCUUUUGAUGUUGCCGUAGUUAAGGUUGAGUUUUCUAAAAGAGGGGAUGAGAAUGGCUUCAAUUAUGCUAUUUUCGGUGACGGAGACCUCUUUCGAGGUAAAGAAAUGAUAAACAUUGGUUAUCCAAUGAAGUGGGGGUACACAUCUGUCCGUGGGGAGAUAUGUUUUUCCUGCGUGAACGAUGUAAAAGUAGACGACAACGCUCCGAGGAUUAGAAAAGUUUAUCCGAAUAUAGACCUUUGUACGGCUUGGAACGAGACGCUAACCUAUCGAAAGGUGGCAAACGUUGUUAAUCGAUAUAAUCCAAAAUUGACUUCGUUCGGAAUAGAUGUUUCUCUAAUUCAGAUAAAUAACGUGCAACUGGAUAUGUUAUUGGUAUGGUAGUUUUUGUUGAGUCAAACGUGUACUUUGUGGUGCAUGUUGGUGUUUUAAGAGAUCUUUUUGAGACUACCGUGAAGCAUGACAACAAGAAACAAAAGUGAAAGAGGAAGCAAAAGAGCGGUUAUAACUAUCAUUUUUUAUAGUGGCUAGAAAUAUGUUUGUAAAAUAUAUUUGUAAAAUAUGUUUGUAAAAAUAUAUUUAUAAGUAAAAUAUUUAAAGGGUUCAUAUGUAUAAUAUAAAAAAAAAUGACAAUUUAUAUUUAUUGAUAAACAGUUAUUAUUUGAUUUGUAAGAAAAUAAUAUAUUAUAUAAAAUGACAUGUAAGAAAAUAAUAUAUAAAAAUUUAAAAUAUUUUCCAGCUCUUGGACCAAUCAACACAUGAGAGAUUUUGGUUUUACCAGUAAAAAUGCAAAAAAAUAUUUAGGCAUGCAAAGAACCAGAUUUUGUGUUCAUCCGAACGGUUACAUUCUUACUUUUGCAAAUUUAUUUCGCGAAACCAUCACUGACAUACAUAUUCGCAAAUAAGGUUGAGUUUUCUAGAAGAGGGAAUGCGAAUGGCUUCAAUUAUGCCAUUUUCAGUGACGGGGACCCUCUUUCAAGGUAAAGAAGUGAUAAACAUUAUUUAUCCAAUGAAGUGGGGAUAAACAUCUGUCCGUGGGGAGAUAUGUUUUCCCCGUGUGAACGCUGUAAUAGUAGACGACAACGCUCCGACAAGUAGGAAAGUUUAUCCGAAUGUAGACCUUUGUACGGCUUGGAACGAGACGCUAACCUAUCGAAAGGCGGCAGACGUUGUUCAUCGAUAUAAUCCAAAAUUGAUUUCGUUCGGCAUAGAUGUUUCUCUAAUUCAGAUAAAUAACGUGCAACUGGAUAUAUUAUUGGUAUGAUAGUUUUUGUUGAGUCAAACGUGUACUUUCCGGUGCAUGUUGGUAUUUUAAGAGAUCUUCUAAAGAUUACCGUGAAGCAUGACAACAAGAAACAAAAGUGAAAGAGGAAACAAAAGAGCGGUUAUAACUAUCAUUUUUUAUAGUGGCUAAAAAUAUGUUUGUAAAAUAUAUUUGUAAAAUAUGUUUGUAAAAAUAUGUUUGUAAGUAAAAUAUUUAAAGAAAUCAUAUGUAUAAUAUGAAAAAAAAAUGACAAUUUAUAUUUAUUGAUAAAUAGUUAUUAUUUGAUUUGUAAGAAAAUAAUAUAUUAUAUAAAAUGACAUGUAAGAAAAUAAUAUAUUAUAUAAAAUGACAUGUAAGAAAAUAAUAUAUAAAAAUUUAAAAUAUUUAAAUACUGAUUUGUUAAUUUCGUUCUAUUUAAUUUUAUUCUGUCUUUCCUCUCUUCCUUUUUUUUCACUUAAUUUUUUCUAUCUUUCCUUGCAUAAUUUUUGUAAAAUUUUUUUAGAUGGCUAACAUG
rnacentral:lncRNA from 1 species